GAGUUUGAUCCUGGCUCAGAACGAACGCUGGCGGCAGGCCUAAAACAUGCAAGUCGAACGCCCCGCAAGGGGAGUGGCGCACGGGUGAGUAACGCGUGGGAACAUGCCCUUCAGUACGGAACAACGUCGGGAGACUGACGCUAAUACCGUAUAAUAUCUCCGGAUCAAAGAUUUAUCGCUGAGGGAGUGGCCCGCGUCUGAUUAGCUAGUUGGUGAGGUAAAGGCUCACCAAGGCUACGAUCAGUAGCAGGUCUGAGAGGAUGAUCUGCCACACUGGGACUGAGACACGGCCC
rnacentral:rRNA from 1 species